UACGAAGGGGGCUAGCGUUGUUCGGAAUCACUGGGCGUAAAGCGCUCGUAGGCGGAUUUUUAAGUCAGGGGUGAAAUCCCGAGGCUCAACCUCGGAACUGCCUUUGAUACUGGGAAUCUCGAGUCCGGGAGAGGUGAGUGGAACUGCGAGUGUAGAGGUGAAAUUCGUAGAUAUUCGCAAGAACACCAGUGGCGAAGGCGGCUCACUGGCCCGAUACUGACGCUGAGGUGCGAAAGCGUGGGGAGCAAACAGG
rnacentral:rRNA from 1 species